GGUAAAGGUGUGGUCUCCCUGUGUUGCCCAGCCUGGCCUCAAACUCCUGGGCUCAAGCAAUGCUCCCACCUCAGCCUCUCAAAGUGCUGGGAUUAUAGGGAUGAGCCUGGUGCCUGGCCCCAGGUAUGGAAUUUUCCACUUAUGGCACCAUGUCAGCACUCAAAAUGUUUUGGAUUUUGGAGCAUUUCAAAUUUCAGAUUUUUGGAUUAGGGAUACUCAUCCUGUAUAAAACUAUAUAAAUGAAUUAAAUCAAUAGCAUACUUUGGAAAAGCUACAUAAACUGAAUGGGGCUGGGCGCGGUGGCUCACGCCUGUAAUCCCAGCACUUUGGGAGGUCAUAGUAUUUGGUUGACUUUUUGUAUCUUGCAUGUUUUCUGCAAGUACCUCUACUUGUUUCUUGUAAUGUAAAACAGAAGUACUACUUUCCAAAAAAUCAUUAUUUAAACUAUAGUCUUCUUUGCUAUCGUCGCUACUAAUUUCAAUUGGAGCUUCAUUUUCAGUUUUAAUAUUAUUUAGUUGAUGAGAUAAAUUAAUCCUCUUUCUUUUCUUCUUAAACUCUACAUUUGAGAACAUUUCCAAAGGUGUCGUACAGUCUUUGUUGCUGUCAACAGGUACUGAUUCAGAUGACUUUAUCUUGCA
rnacentral:antisense_RNA from 1 species